rnacentral:rRNA from 1 species
GAUGAACGCUGGCGGCGUGCCUAAUACAUGCAAGUCGAGCGAACGGACGAGAAUCUUGCUUCUCUGAUGUUAGCGGCGGACGUGUGUGUAACACGUGUAUCACCUACCUAUAAGACUGGUAUAACUUCGGGAAACCGGCUCUAAUCCCGUAUAAUAUUUUGCACCGCAUGGUUCAAAAGUGAAAUACGGUCUUGCUGUCACUUAUAGAUGGUUCCGCGCUGCAUUAGCUAGUUGGUAAGGUAACGGCUUACCAAGGCAACGAUGCAUAGCCGACCUGCGAGGGGGAACGGGCACAGUGGAAGUGACAGACGAUACAGAGACCGAGGGGAGGCAGCAGUAGGGAAUGUUGCGAAAAGGGCGAAAGACUGAAGGAGGAACGGAGGGUGAGUGAUGAAGGGCUGCGGAUGGGAAAACGCUGUUAGGAGGGAAGAACAGAUGUGUAAGUAACGGUGCAUAAGUGGACGGAACGGAAUAAGAAAGACACGGCUAAUUACGU